rnacentral:tRNA from 1 species
CGGGGCGUGGCUCAGCUUGGCUAGAGCGCUUGGUUCGGGACCAAGAGGCCGACAGUUCAAAUCUGUCCGCCCCGACCA